GGCAUCUCCUAUUAUAACUAGGACAGGAUGAGGUGUAAGGUUUGAAGGUGUUUGAGCUUCUUAUAUCACAUUGACAAUUGAAGUAGGGAUUCUCUAGUACUGCUUAUGAAGAGAGAGAGAGAGAGAGAGGGAAGGAAGAAGGAAGAAAGAGAUGGGAGGAGAUUGCCAGCAAGAAUAGGUUGGGGAAUCUGCUCUGAGGGCUGUGCCUUGGAACCACUCGUCUUUUCAAAAAUCUAUGAGCUGCCCAUUGCCAAUUUUCAAUCUUGAGCAGUGGUUCGACUAGCUGGCCUAGAAGGAGAGGAUACAUACGUAUGUCUGAGUUACGUGAUCUAAAAGAGGGAGAGCAUGUUGUUGCCAACCUAAGUGAACUUGGACAAUCAAUCCGGGUGGAAGCUACUAAUUUGUCAAAUUAUAUACAGUCAAUGGUAAGACAAUUUGAUAAUGCUCCAAUCGAUUAUGACUCUUGGCAUGAUGUGCCAUCAGGCUUCAAGGAAAAGAUGAUAGCUGAACUAGAGAUGAAAGCAGCUGUUCCUGAAUAUUGUAAUGAAAAUCAAUGGAGGAGAAGAAUUGACAUGUGGUUAACAGAAAAAUCUAUGGAGCUAAUGAAAGAAGGAAUGCAAGAAGUGGGAGGUUCAGAAAGUACCGAAGGACAAAGGUAUUGGAACGAUGAUGUGUACUCCCAUAUCAAAGGGCUAAAAAGAGAGGGAGAAUUCAUUGUGUUGGGAAAGCUCCCUCUUGUUCAAAAGCUACUUCAUCCAUAUCAACUGAGCAUCUGAUGCUAGUAGUGCUCCCAGACAAGCUCUUCUGAAAAUGGAGAUGGUCAUUCACAUCACGAUCAAAGUGAUCUUUUGCAGCUGCUCCUUGAAGUUGGCUUGUUGUAUUGGAAGUUCGACAACUUGGAGUUAGGUUUGCCUUAUUGAAAGACCACUUCAUAUUAUGUAUUCGAAACUUAAAUGAGACUACUGAUGCUAUGUUGUUGGUGUUGGAUUAUACUUUAGUAAUGUAUUAUUGGUGGGUGUUGGAUUACAUUUUAGUAUUGUACUAUUAGUGUUAGAUUGAUUUUCAAUAUUGUAUUGUUAGUAUUGAAUUUCCUGCAUUAUAUGAAGACUGACUUUUAUAUAUUAAAGCUUAAAUUGGCAGUUGAAGCCAUUUUUAGUAAUA